CUUCCAGGAAAAGCCUCUAAGCUUCAGAUAGUCAGGAAUCGUACCCCAAACCGACACAGGUGGUCGGGUAGAGAAUACCAAGGCGCUUGAGAGAACUCGGGUGAAGGAACUAGGCAAAAUGGUACCGUAACUUCGGGAGAAGGUACGCUCUUGAUGGUGAAGUCCCUCGCGGAUGGAGCUGACGAGAGUCGCAGAUACCAGGUGGCUGCAACUGUUUAUUAAAAACACAGCACUGUGCAAAAUCGCAAGAUGACGUAUACGGUGUGACGCCUGCCCGGUGCCGGAAGGUUAAUUGAUGGGGUUAGCGCAAGCGAAGCUCUUGAUCGAAGCCCCGGUAAACGGCGGCCGUAACUAUAACGGUCCUAAGGUAGCGAAAUUCCUUGUCGGGUAAGUUCCGACCUGCACGAAUGGCGUAAUGAUGGCCACGCUGUCUCCACCCGAGACUCAGUGAAAUUGAAAUCGCUGUGAAGAUGCAGUGUACCCGCGGCUAGACGGAAAGACCCCGUGAACCUUUACUACAGCUUGGCACUGAACAUUGAACCUACAUGUGUAGGAUAGGUGGGAGGCUAUGAAGACGUGACGCCAGUUGCGUUGGAGCCGUCCUUGAAAUACCACCCUUGUAUGUUUGAUGUUCUAACUUAGACCCGUUAUCCGGGUUGAGGACAGUGCCUGGUGGGUAGUUUGACUGGGGCGGUCUCCUCCCAAAGAGUAACGGAGGAGCACGAAGGUGGGCUAAUCACGGUUGGACAUCGUGAGGUUAGUGCAAUGGCAUAAGCCCGCUUAACUGCGAGAAUGACGGUUCGAGCAGGUGCGAAAGCAGGUCAUAGUGAUCCGGUGGUUCUGUAUGGAAGGGCCAUCGCUCAACGGAUAAAAGGUACUCCGGGGAUAACAGGCUGAUACCGCCCAAGAGUUCAUAUCGACGGCGGUGUUUGGCACCUCGAUGUCGGCUCAUCACAUCCUGGGGCUGAAGUCGGUCCCAAGGGUAUGGCUGUUCGCCAUUUAAAGUGGUACGCGAGCUGGGUUUAGAACGUCGUGAGACAGUUCGGUCCCUAUCUGCCGUGGGCGUUGGAAGAUUGAAGGGGGCUGCUCCUAGUACGAGAGGACCGGAGUGGACGAACCUCUGGUGUUCGGGUUGUGUCGCCAGACGCAUUGCCCGGUAGCUAAGUUCGGAAUUGAUAAGCGCUGAAAGCAUCUAAGCGCGAAGCGAGCCCUGAGAUGAGUCUUCCCUGACAGUUUAACUGUCCUAAAGGGUUGUUCGAGACUAGAACGUUGAUAGGCAGGGUGUGUAAGCGUUGUGAGGCGUUGAGCUAACCUGUACUAAUUGCCCGUGAGGCUUAACCAUACAACACCCAAGGGGUUUUGUA
rnacentral:rRNA from 1 species